rnacentral:tRNA from 7 species
AGGGGUGUAGCUCAGUUGGUAGAGCGGCGGUCUCCAAAACCGCAGGUCGUCGGUUCAAGCCCGGCCGCCCCUGCCA